AGUGAACGCUGGCGGUAGGCCUAACACAUGCAAGUCGAACGGAAGCACAGUAAGAGCUUGCGCUUACGGGUGGCGAGUGGCGGACGGGAGAGGAAAACAUCGGAAUCUACUUUUUCGGGGGGGAUAACGAAGGGAAGCUUACGCUAAUACCGCAUACGACCUACGGGGGAAAGCAGGGGAACCUUGGAGCUGGCGGGGAUGAACGAGCCGAUGUCGGAUUAGCUAGUUGGCGGGGUAAAGGCCAACCAAGGCGACGAUCGGUAGCUGGACUGGGUGGAUGAUCAGCCACACUGGAACUUGGACACGGUCCAUACUCCUGCGGGAGGCAGCAGUGUGGAAUAUUGGACAAUGGUCGCAAGCCUUAUCCAGCCAUACCGCGUCGGUGACGAAGGCCUUCGGGUUGUAAUGCCCUUUUGUUGGGAAAGAAAAGCAGCAGGUUAAUACCCCGCUGUUCUGACGGUACCCAAAGAAUAAGCACCGGCUAACUUCGUG
rnacentral:rRNA from 1 species